CUAGUUUUAUUACGUUUAGUAUUUAAUUCUCAUUAGUUAUUUUUAUGUAAUCAAGUGUUCUUGUACUUAGCAAUGCAUUUAGUUUCGGUUAAAUUUUGUGCCAGCAGCCGCGGUUAUACCUUGGAGGCGAUUGAACUUGUUUGGCUGGAGGUAGUUGUAUGAUUGUUAUUUUGAUGUUUUAGGUUUUACUUUGGUGGUUAUUGGGUGAAAUUUUUAUCUUUGUUUUAUAUCCGUUUAUUUGUUUGGAGGCUAUGAAAUUCUUAUUUUUAAACUAGGAUUAGAUACCCUAUUAUUUUUGGAUGUUAAUUUUUUGCCUGAGUAGUAUUAGUUAUGUUCUUGAAACUUAAAGAAUUUGGCGGUAUCUUAUUCCGUUCAGAGGAACCUGUCUCGUUAUCGAUAGUCCACGUUGGACCUUACUUGGUUGUUUAUUGGUUUGUAUACCGCCGUUUAUUGAUUAUCUUUUUAGGGUCAUAUAAUUUUCUUGUUCCUAUAUUUGGUUUAAUUUCAGGUCAAGGUGCAGCUUUCUCUAAGUGUUUUGGUGGGUUACAUUGUUAUUUGUGUUUGGAUUGUUGGUUUUAAUUACUGACAUGAAAUUGGAUUUGAUUGUAAUAUUUUGAAGAUUGUUUUUGUGAUAAUUGGUUCUGAGAUAUGUACACAUCGCCCGUCGCUCUCGUUUUAUUUGUUAAUGAGAUAAGUCGUAACAAAGUGGUUGUACCGGAAGGUGUAGCUGGAGUGAUAAAAUUUUAU
rnacentral:ncRNA from 1 species